rnacentral:rRNA from 1 species
GCCAGAAAUCUACAUUUUAAAAUAUUAUGAGUAAGCAGGGUCAGGCCUGGUUAGUACUUGGAUGGGAGACCACCUAGGAAUACCAGGUGUUGUAGGCG